rnacentral:lncRNA from 1 species
GGUUCUUUGUGCGUGGAGAAUUUACAUGAAAAACUUUUUCUCGUGUAGAGUAAGUGGUGCACAAGUGGAUAAGGUGGCGCAUGAGAUUAGUUGCCCAAUCAAAUUCAAACAUCAUUUGAAUUUGAAUGGCCAACCAACCUUCUUUAUCCACUCAAAAUGGUGCACAUAAGAGGGGCGUGGGAAGGCUUCUGCGUGGGAGAAAAUUUAUGAGAACUUAUUUUUCAUGAAUUCAAAUAGGCGCAGGUGAGGUGAGGUGGCGCAGG